rnacentral:rRNA from 1 species
UACGUAGGGGGCAAGCGUUGUCCGGAAUCAUUGGGCGUAAAGAGCGUGUAGGCGGCCCGGUAAGUCCGCUGUGAAAGUCGGGGGGCUCAACCCUCGAAUGCCGGUGGAUACUGUCGGGCUAGAGUGCGGAAGAGGCGAGUGGAAUUCCUGGUGUAGCGGUGAAAUGCGCAGAGAUCGGGAGGAACACCCGUAGCGAAGGCGGCACUCUGGGCCGAUACGUGACGCUGAGGAGCGAAAGCGUGGGGAGCGAACAGG